rnacentral:tRNA from 1 species
GCCCCUAUAGCUCAGCUGGUAGAGCGCUGGUUUUGUAAACCAGAUGUCGGCGGUUCGAUCCCGUCUGGGGGCACCA